rnacentral:rRNA from 1 species
UACAGAGGGUGCAAGCGUUAAUCGGAAUUACUGGGCGUAAAGCGUGCGUAGACGGUUAUGUAAGUCGGGUGUGAAAGCCCCGGGCUCAACCUGGGAAUGCCAUUCGAGACUGCAUAGCUAGGGUGCGGAAGAGGGAAGCGGAAUUUCCGGUGUAGCGGUGAAAUGCGUAGAUAUCGGAAGGAACACCAGUGGCGAAAGCGGCUUCCUGGUCCAGCACCGACGUCAGGCACGAAAGCGUGGGGAGCAAACAGGG